rnacentral:miRNA from 1 species
CGGGGCCGCCUCCUCGGCUCCCGGCGGCGGCGGCGGCGGGGACGGCG